AACAGACUUCAGUAAUUGAUCAUGCCCCGGUCGUUCAACAAACGUCAUAUAUAGACCACGCCCCUGUCGUUCAACAGGCGUCUUACAUAGACCACGCCCCCGUUGUUCAACAGGCGUCAUAUAUCGAUCACGUGCCUGCCGUUCAACAGUCGUCAUACAUAGAUCACGCCCCGAUUGUGUCGCAUGCCAACCCAAUUUUGUCUGCUCCUGCGCCUAUAACUGAACACGUCGCCCCGGUCGCGCCGCUCCCGACCCCACACAACAUCUACAACUCGAUUCUGGAUAGUGCGAAUCUGAUUGCGCCGUCGCACAAUUUGAAUCUGUUGUCUCUCCUGCAGCCAAGCCACGCUCCGUGGGUGUCGGUCUCGGGCGCGUCCUACGGCCACGGUGGCCACGUCCUUCACAGGUGGUCGGCUGGUCCCAUCCCCUUGGACAGACACAGCCUCACCAUCAGAACUCGACAUUAAACGGACGAUAAGCUGUCGUUAGAUAAGCUGUACUAUAACGACUUCUCCGUGUUUAAGUAACCUAUUUGUUACUCACGGCCCUAGUGUGUUCUUGCAUAUGAUAUAAUGCGUGCAAAAAUACACAUAGGUCUUUAGAAGUUAAGAUGAAUUUGUUGUGUAUCCAGAGCAAAUAAGUGUAUAUAAUUUAUUUUCUGAUUGUGCCUGUAAAUAUACUAUUCUAAUGAAGACAAUAUUAACACAUAUUAUCUUUCAUUUAAAAAUAUCCCUUCUACCUAGAAUAGCUAAUUCGUCAUCGUUUGAAUUUUAAGAACUGAAAAUACAUUUAUUAUAUUACUAAAUACCCAUUCCAUAUUUAUAAGCUUGAAAUUUUUUGCCGCCCGAUACAUCAUAAUCUUUUCCAAAUAAGAUAUAUACUUCAAAAUAGACUUUGUCAAUUUUCUUUUCUAAUAUCCCGUUUAUUAUGCAACUGGACAAUAUUUACCCCUGCUCUCAAACCCAGUACCACCGAGCUAUUACGUAGUCGUGCAAAACUACUUCAAUGAGACGAUAAAACACUUCACUUGGCAGUAAUAUAUGUACCCGCAUACAUAAUAAAUACAACACGUUGCAUGAAUUUAUACCGAACCAACUGCAUUCCUUGGAUUUUUCAAUUGCCACUUCAAUUUUCGUAAUUAUACUGAAAUGCAACAACAAAUAAUGUAUUGCUUCGGGAAAUAUGCACGAAAAUGGGCUUAAUUACCUUAUAACGUGUUUAGGAACAACAUUCAACUCAUAUAUCGUGACCAGGGCGUCAGCGCCGAACACGACGAGCUGGUCCCCGAGCAUGUCCAGCACGAACACCUGCGACUGCACGCGCACGAUCUUCGCGAAGCGGUUGUCGAGCUUCGCGUCGCGCGCGUAGAAGCGCACCUCGUCGUGCCCGUCCAGGAUGCUGUAGCACCCUGCAAGCAUAGCCCUAACUGCGGGUAUCCACGCUUGUGUGGGUAGCCCUAUAGCCGAGUGUCCACACUUGCGUGGGUAGCCCUACAACCCGGUGUCCACACUUGCAUGGGUAGCCCUAGACCCGG